GAUGAACGCUAGCUACAGGCUUAACACAUGCAAGUCGAGGGGCAGCAUGAACUUAGCUUGCUAAGUUUGAUGGCGACCGGCGCACGGGUGAGUAACACGUAUCCAACCUUCCGUUUACUCAGGGAUAGCCUUUCGAAAGAAAGAUUAAUACCUGAUAGUAUGGUGAGAUUGCAUGAUAACACCAUUAAAGAUUUAUUGGUAAACGAUGGGAUGCGUUCCAUUAGGUAGUAGGCGGGGUAACGGCCCACCUAGCCUGCGAUGGAUAGGGGUUCUGAGAGGAAGGUCCCCCACAUUGGAACUGAGACACGGUCCAAACUCCUACGGGAGGCAGCAGUGAGGAAUAUGGUCAAUGGGCGAGAGCCUGAACCAGCCAAGUAGCGUGAAGGAUGAAGGUCCUACGGAUUGUAAACUUCUUUUAUAC
rnacentral:rRNA from 1 species